rnacentral:rRNA from 1 species
AGAGUUUGAUCAUGGCUCAGAUUGAACGUUGGCGGCAGGCCUAAAACAUGCAAGUCGAACGGUAACAGCGGAAGCUUGCUUCCGGCUGACGAGUGGCGGACGGGUGAGUAACACGUAGGAAUCUACCUAGUAGUGGGGGACAACCCGGGGAAACCCGGGCUAAUACCGCAUACGCUCUACGGAGGAAAGCGGGGGAUCUUCGGACCUCGCGCUAUUGGAGGAGCCUGCGUCGGAUUAGCUAGUUGGUGGGGUAAAGGCCUACCAAGGCGACGAUCCGUAGCUGGUCUGAGAGGACGAUCAGCCACACUGGAACUGAGACACGGUCCAGACUCCUACGGGAGGCAGCAGUUAGGAAUCUUGGGCAAUGGGCGCAAGCCUGACCCAGCCAUGCCGCGUGUGUGAAGAAGGCCUUCGGGUUGUAAAGCACUUUCAGCGGUGAAGAAAAGCUCAGGGCCAAUAUCCUUGAGUCUUGACGUUAACCGCAGAAGAAGCACCGGCUAACUCCGUGCCAGCAGCCGCGGUAAUACGGAGGGUGCGAACGUUAAUCGGAAUCACUGGGCGUAAAGCGCGCGUAGGCGGUUUGUUAAGUGGGAUGUGAAAGCCCCGGGCUUAACCUGGGAAUUGCAUUUCAAACUGGCGAACUAGAGUGCGGUAGAGGGAGGUAGAAUUUCCUGUGUAGCGGUGAAAUGCGUAGAUAUAGGAAGGAAUACCAGUGGCGAAGGCGGCCUCCUGGAUCGACACUGACGCUAAGNNGCGAAAGCGUGGGGAGCAAACAGGAUUAGAUACCCUAGUAGUCC